rnacentral:rRNA from 1 species
AGAUAAUAGAUACCCGGGUAGUCCACGCCCUAAACGAUGUCAACUAGUUGUCGGGUCUUCAUUGACUUGGUAAACGUAGCUAAACGCGUGAAGUUGACCGCCUGGGGAGUACGGUCGCAAGAUUAAAACUCAAAGGAAUUGACGGGGACCCGCACAAGCGGUGGAUGAUGUGGAUUAAUUCGAUGCAACGCGAAAAACCUUACCUACCCUUGACAUGUACGGAACCUUGCCGAGAGGUGAGGGUGCCCGAAAGGGAGCCGUAACACAGGUGCUGCAUGGCUGUCGUCAGCUCGUGUCGUGAGAUGUUGGGUUAAGUCCCGCAACGAGCGCAACCCUUGUCCCUAGUUGCUACGCAAGAGCACUCUAGGGAGACUGCCGGUGACAAACCGGAGGAAGGUGGGGAUGACGUCAAGUCCUCAUGGCCCUUAUGGGUAGGGCUUCACACGUCAUACAAUGGUCGGAACAGAGGGUUGCCAAGCCGCGAGGUGGAGCCAAUCCCAGAAAACCCGAUCGUAGUCCGGGAUCGCAGUCUGCAACUCGACUG